UCUGCAGAAAAUCAGAAAAAAUUCAGAGAAAAUCACGAGAAGAUACAGGAAAUUCAGAGGGAAUCUUAGACUAAGUUGAAGAAGCUGAAAAUCAAGGUUCAAUCUGAAGGAGAGCUCCACUUGCUAGGUUCUCUAAGAUACUACCAUUUUGACAUGAAUUACAGGUUGGCAAGAAGACAAUAAGGAUACUAAGUGUGUGCUCCGUUUUGGAGCUUAUGUAACUAGGGAGUGAGAAAUAUGCUGUAGUGCAUCUCAAUGUAAAGAGCUCGUCACUGAAUGAAAAACGCUUUUAGUUGCUUAUGAAAUAUAUAUAUAUAUAUAUAUAUAUAUAUGUCUUGUGUUUUCAACAAA